rnacentral:rRNA from 1 species
AGGCGACGACGGGUAGCCGGCCUGAGAGGGUGACCGGCCACACUGGGACUGAGACACGGCCCAGACUCCUACGGGAGGCAGCAGUGGGGAAUAUUGCACAAUGGGCGAAAGCCUGAUGCAGCGACGCCGCGUGAGGGAUGACGGCCUUCGGGUUGUAAACCUCUUUCAGCUCUGACGAAGCCUUCGGGUGACGGUAGGAGCAGAAGAAGCACCGGCUAACUACGUGCCAGCAGCCGCGGUAAUACGUAGGGUGCGAGCGUUGUCCGGAAUUAUUGGGCGUAAAGAGCUUGUAGGCGGUUUGUCGCGUCUGCUGUGAAAGCCCGGGGCUUAACCCCGGGUCUGCAGUGGGUACGGGCAGGCUAGAGUGUGGUAGGGGAGACUGGAAUUCCUGGUGUAGCGGUGGAAUGYGCAGAUAUCAGGAGGAACACCGAUGGCGAAGGCAGGUCUCUGGGCCACUACUGACGCUGAGAAGCGAAAGCGUGGGGAGCGAACAGGAUUAGAUACCCUGGUAGUCCACGCCGUAAACGUUGGGCGCUAGGUGUGGGUCCCAUUCCACGGGGUCCGUGCCGCAGCUAACGCAUUAAGCGCCCCGCCUGGG